CCCUUAGAUGUCCGGGGCUGCACGCGCGCUACACUGAAGGAAUCAGCGUGCUAAAACCAUUGUCGAAAGGCAUUGGUAAACCCAUUAAAAUCCUACGUGAUUGGGAUCGGGAAUUGCAAUUAUUUCCCUUGAACGAGGAAUUCCCAGUAAGUGUGGGUCAUAAGCUCGCGUUGAUUACGUCCCUGCCCUUCGUACACACCGCCCGUCGCUGCCCGGGACUGAGCCGUUUCGAGAAAAGCGGGGACUGCUGCUGUCGGGGCUUUCGGGCCUUGGCUUCGGUGGAAACCGCUUUAAUCGCAGUGGCUUGAACCGGGCAAAAGUCGUAACA
rnacentral:rRNA from 1 species